UCGGGUUCCUAAACCCAAAAUCCCUGAUUUCAAUAUGUUCCUUCUCUCUCCCCGUCCCUGAUACUUUUCCUUCUCUUUCCUCUCGGCGAAGCUGCGACGCCCCCAGCAAUGACCCAAUGCUGCCCACCACCCUCGAUGCCACCGUCACGACCCAUGACGUCGCCGCCGAUGCCACUGCUGCUCCGUUUGACGACGCUGCCAACUCUCGCCGUCCCAGUCUUCUUGCACUCUCUCUCCUCCCGCUUGUCUCGCCACUGGUCGUAUCCUUUGACUUGUCAAUCCUCAGACGGACCAGCUAGAAGUUCGUUUACAAGCUGUGAUACUAGUUGGAGACCUAUUUUCCACUCCAGGCCAUGCUAUCACCAAGCCUUUCCAGCCAAUCUUUUCAGAGUUCUUGAAGAGGCUGACUGAUAAAGCUGUUAAAGUAAGAAUGUCUGUGCUUGAACAUGUUAAGAACUUCCUGCUGUGAAAUCCUUCUAGAGCUGAAUCUUCUCAAAUAAUUGAUGCCUUAUGCGAUUGACUGCUGGACUAUGAUGAGAACGUGAGAAAACAAGUUGUCACUGUUAUUUGCGAUGCGGCAUCUAAUUCUCCAAACUCCAUUCCAGCUGAUGCUAUAAAACUCGCAGAUCGUCUUCGAGACAAAUCAGUAACUUAUCUAUCCUACUGUUGAU